rnacentral:rRNA from 1 species
AACAAACGCUGGCGGCGUGCCUAACACAUGCAAGUCGUACGAGAAAGUCGGCUUCGGCCGAUGAGUACAGUGGCGCACGGGUGAGUAGCGCGUGGGUAAUCUGCCCCCCGGUCAGGAAUAACCCGCCGAAAGGCGGGCUAAUACCCGAUAACACUAGACGCUCCGCGGAGCGUCUUUCAAAGAAGGCCUCUGUUUACAAGCUUUCGCCGGAGGAUGAGCCCGCGUACCAUUAGCUAGUUGGCAGGGUAAUGGCCUACCAAGGCUACGAUGGUUAGCUGGUCUGAGAGGAUGGCCAGCCGACACUGGAACUGAGACACGGUCCAGACUCCUACGGGAGGCAGCAGUGAGGAAUCUUGCGCAAAUGGGGGAAACCCUGACGCAGCAACGCCGCGUGAGUGAGGAAGGCCUUCGGGUCGUAAAGGCUCUGUCAGAUGGGAAGAAAUAGGAGUGGGGCGUAAGUAAUCGCCCAUCCUUGACGGUACCGAUCAGAGGAAGCACGGCAACUCCG